GGGCCUCUGGCGCAAUGGCAACGCGUUUGACUUCGAAUCAAAAGAUUGCAGGUUCGACCCCUGCGGGGCUCA